AACUCCUAGAAGAAAACACAGGCGACACGCUCCUUGACGUUAGUCAUGGCAAUGAUGUUUUGGAUUUGACACCAAAAGCAAAAUAAACAAGUGGGAACCACAUUGAACUAAAAAGAGAAUGCAGGAAACUGACUUGGAGACGGUCGCAGUACAGAGACAUGGUGAGAGCUAGAACUGACGCUGUGUGGGGAGGAUGGACAGAAGGCUGCGGACCUCAGGGAGACUAAAGAAGCGUCACUCGAGGACUUGCAAUAAAUGCUGCAACGUUGUUUAUCGAAGGAACAAACAUGAAAGAAGAUACAUUGCUGUGAAGAGCAGACAGACAGGCCUCCUGGCAGACAACUACUCGAGGGCGAUUUCCUAAAGCCCAGAUUCAGGGAAAAAAAAUAUGGAAGCGACUCAGCGCUUGAGAAAGUGCCAAAGCCAGCUUUGAUCUCAAUUAUGGGAAGUAAUUAUCGGCAACACCUGAGAAGAUUGUUAAGACUGACCUGUCACAGACGAUGUGGUUCCCAGCCCCGUGUCCCCUGGAAGGCGGAGGUAUGGGGCCCAGCUCCAGCUCUGGGAGACCACUAGUGGUGUGAGUGACCUCGGGUGGGUUCAUUUACCUCUCUGGCCUCAGUUUGGCUUCUCAGACAGUGCAUGGGG